CUGUUAUUCAGAUAUAACAUUCUGGGGAGAGGCUGGGAUAGGUAACUUGGCUCUGGCAGCAAACUGAUGGGUUCCUAGCUGCAGUGCAAUCAGUGGGCCUGGGGAGCAGGGCACUUGAGCUGUGCUUUGUGGGGACUGGUGAUAGGUGUUCUUGAGAUAUUUUGGGUAGUGGUGGUAAUGUGAGCUUCAAAUCUUUUCAUUGAAAAUGAGGUCUGAGCUUUGAAUCAAGUGCAUCUGUCUGUAACUCCCUCCUUCUGUUGGUGACUCUUAAAUGCAGCAGGUUUGUUAGAUGUUAGUACCAUUCCUUUUCCUGUGCUGUUAGGGGGCACGUGAUCCGGUACGCCUCUGCUGAAAUACACUAUGUUUGAUGAGAAGGCAGUGCUUGAUAAUGCUAAAGGAGACAAAAUAAGGUGAUGCUACUGAUCAAAGGUCUUGCACCGUGUCAAGGCCUCCUAACACCUUACCAAAGGCUGAAGGAGAUGUGAUACCUCAGAACAGCUGGCUCUGCCCAAGGAUUUGGCAUCCACUGCUCCUCUUGAAGCCCAGGAGACCCGAGAGAAGUGCUGGAGGUACAACACAGCUGGAAGCUCGGCUCGCAGGCAGACACAAAAGUGGAACAGGAAAGCAGGAGAAAAGAAACGCUCCUUUGUCUCGUGGUUGAACUGGUUGCCCUUGCUGGGAUACAAGCAGUUCAUCUGGGCAGAGAAACCCACUGGCCCACUUGGCAUCCUGCGGCUCUUGGCACACGUUAAACAGGUCGGUAGGUGGUCUGGCACAGAGCUCUGGACGUGCUUUCUCACAAGGGUUCUUGCUUCGCAGGGGGAAAAACAGUUCAACGGAAAGAUCUUUUCUGCAGGGUUCAUCAAUGGCUUCAUGGCAGUCAGGGAAUGGUGUUCAGUGUGUUGCUGAACGCUAAAAAUGCUUUGAUUCUCCGAGGUGCUACAGUUCAUUUUGUUGGUACAGUCUUAUUUGGAAAUAAGGAAAUUUGUUCUGUCCCAGUGCUUUAUGCAGCAGUUUUGGUAGAGGAACUGUGGAUAUAGAGAUCGUGACAUUACUGGAUGAAAUAAUCCUGCUGGAGAUGUUAGGAAGGCUGACCAAGAGUCACUGUGCUCCUCUCUGCCUGGAUAUCUGUUUUGGCUCUGAGGACUGUGAAGCAUCUCGUUUGCUCACCCCAAAUCUUUGAAGGAGCUGAUUAUGCUGACAGUUAGUCUUACUAAUUGUUAUUAUAUCAUUGCUGCAGGAAUAGAUUAAUUCUUAUGUAAAGUAUGCCUGAUUUACACUCAGCUCUUAGAAGAACUUUUCGUUUCAAGUAGGGAUGUAGGUAGGAAAUAAGAGGAAGCCAGUAGAAAAUUCAGGAUGUGCUGGACAAAUUUGAGACGUAUUUUCUAUCAGUCUGAUGCUGUUUCUCAGCCCUUCUUUUUUGCACGGUUUGUUCUUGUAACAGCUGACCAUUACCUGAAAGGUAACAAUUUUCCUCUAUGAUCUUUCACUUAUGGGCACUGAGGGGACAUUGGGCCAUGACUGAGGCAGUGGCCAUGAUACGUUAUUGAAGCUGAUAGUUACAGCCUCAGCAGUGUCAUCAGCUGGAUCAGCAAAACUGACCCUACAAGGAAGAUGUGAAGUUUUAUGUCUUUCACUGGAGUUUAAUCUGUCAUAAUCUUACUCUUAUUUCUUCUCAGCGGUUUGAACUGCGACUUUUACUUGUAGUAAAGAUGGAUUAUCUGUG
ensembl:lncRNA